AUUGAACGCUGGCGGCAUGCCUUACACAUGCAAGUCGAACGGCAGCAUAGGAGCUUGCUCCUGAUGGCGAGUGGCGAACGGGUGAGUAAUAUAUCGGAACGUGCCCUAGAGUGGGGGAUAACUAGUCGAAAGACUAGCUAAUACCGCAUACGAUCUACGGAUGAAAGGGGGGGAUCGCAAGACCUCAUGCUCCUGGAGCGGCCGAUAUCUGAUUAGCUAGUUGGUGGGGUAAAAGCUCACCAAGGCGACGAUCAGUAGCUGGUCUGAGAGGACGACCAGCCACGCUGGGACUGAGACACGGCCCAGACUCCUACGGGAGGCAGCAGUGGGGAAUUUUGGACAAUGGGGGCAACCCUGAUCCAGCAAUGCCGCGUGAGUGAAUAAGGCCUUCGGGUUGUAAAGCUCUUUUGUCAGGGAAGAAACGGUUCUGGAUAAUACCUGGGACUAAUGACGGUACCUGAAGAAUAAGCACCGGCUAACUACGUGCCAGCAGCCGCCGUAA
rnacentral:rRNA from 1 species